UAACGGUGUAUAUAGGGCGCAAGUUUUAGAUACAGCCGACGAGUGGCGGACGGGUGAGUAACACGUAGGAAUCUGCCCUAAAGUGGAGGACAACCCGGGGAAACCCGGGCUAAUACUGCAUAAUACCUGAGGGUUAAAGCUGCCAUGCAUUUAGGUGCUGGAGGUGCUUUAGGAUGAGCCUACGUCCGAUUAGCUAGUUGGUGAGGUAAAGGCCCACCAAGGCGACGAUCGGUAGCUGGUCUGAGAGGAUGAUCAGCCACACUGGGACUGAGACACGGCCCAGACUCCUACGGGAGGCGGCAGUGGGGAAUAUUGGACAAUGGGGGCAACCCUGAUCCAGCAAUACCGCGUGUGUGAAGAAGGCCUGCGGGUUGUAAAGCACUUUCGGUGGUGAGGAAGUUUACUGGGUUAAGAGCUAGGUAAAUUGACGUUAGCCACAGAAGAAGCACCGGCUAACUCUGUGCCAGCAGCCGCGGUAAUACAGAGGGUGCGAGCGUUAAUCGGAAUUAUUGGGCGUAAAGGGCACGUAGGCGGUUAUUUAAGUUAUCUGUGAAAUACCUGGGCUCAACCGAGGAAUUGCAGUUAAGACUGAAUGACUUGAGUAUAGUAGAGGGUAGCGGAAUUUCCGGUGUAGCGGUGAAAUGCGUAGAUAUCGGAAAGAACACCGGUGGCGAAGGCGGCUACCUGGACUGAUACUGACGCUGAAGUGCGAGAGCGUGGGGAGCGAACAGGAUUAGAUACCCUGGUAGUCCACGCUGUAAACGAUGAAUACUAGCAGUUAGGGUGCAUAAGACACUUUAGUUGCGCAGC
rnacentral:rRNA from 1 species